rnacentral:rRNA from 1 species
CAGUCGCCGCGGUAAUACGAAGGGUGCAAGCGUUACUCGGAAUUACUGGGCGUAAAGCGUGCGUAGGUGGUGGUUUAAGUCCGUUGUGAAAGCCCUGGGCUCAACCUGGGAAUUGCAGUGGAUACUGGGUCACUAGAGUGUGGUAGAGGAUAGUGGAAUUUCCGGUGUAGCAGUGAAAUGCGUAGAUAUCGGAAGGAACACCUGUGGCGAAAGCGGCUCACUGGACCAUAACUGACGCUGAGGCACGAAAGCGUGGGGAGCAAACAGGAUUAGAUACCCCCGUAGUCCCUGUCUCUUAUAC